rfam:Gasterosteus aculeatus cont1.000955, whole genome shotgun sequence.
GUCAGGAAGGCCGAGCGGUCUAAGGCGCCGCGUUCAGGUUGCAGUCUCCAUUGGAGGCGACGGUUCGAAUCCCACUUCUGACA